GAUUGUCUCGGUUUCCUCUUGGCAGAUUUAAAUUGUUAGAGAAAUGAAACUCGUUUGAAAACAGUGGGCCCUGGCAGGCCCACUCCCAGGCAUUGCCCAGGACUCCGGGAACAGUUGUCAGCUUGCACGGCGUUUGUCUAGGUUGGGUUUGAUCUUACUCUCAGAUCCCAUAUGAAUCUCGGAGAGGCAGACACGAGGCUCAUUUCAGAGACUCAAUUUAACAUAGACUAACAUGCACAAUGGCACAAGGACCAGUGAGAACUUUCUGUACUUGGUGGUUUGUGGAGUUAAAAUAAGUCAUCAUCCCUCACCUCAAACCUGACUUUUGACCUGGAUUUCUUCUUUAUGUCUAACCAUCAGUCAUCCCAUUCAAUGGAAGAUGUCAAAGGCAUUUCUUCAAACCUGUUCAUUUCCAGAGCAAGGCUUUUCCAGAUGGGAAUUAGAAAGCAAGAUUUGAUAAAAAUCUGCUUCCCUAUUACUCAAUACAAAGGAAUAUUACAGUAGCACUCCUGUUUCCGCUAAUCCGUUCAUUUCAGGUUUGAUUUACCUUUUUUGCCUUGAUCUCAAAUCCAUGUGGCUUUAUAGGAUUUAUAUUGCUAUAUUCAGGUUUUGAAUGAAUCACAGAGUAUGCAUUUUAAUAUGAUUUCUCUGAUUCCAAAUCCAGGAUU